GUCUGAGGGUGAGAGUGGUUCAGAGUGUUUUUUAUGGUUUUUGCAAAGAAAUUUAAUUAUGUUUGAAGGGUUGUGUUCUGUACAUCUCAAGGAAACAUUGCUGAAAAACCACGUUCCUAAGAACAAAUCCUGUCAUUGGGGAAGCUUUUUAAAAUUUGGUUCCAGUUUCUGAUAGCGAUUUUUUUUUCAAGAUCAAGCGCACACGAAGUAAAAUAAGAGCAAGAACACAUUUUAAUGCGAUGAUUAAUUGCGAAACCGCCUCCGGGCACAAAAUUCCGUCGGCCUAGCUACGAGAGCUCAGUAGGCCAGUUCCGCUGCUGGACGACGAUGACGACGACGGUGCUAAUCACUCAAGUAACCUGCGCCAACUACCCGGCCUACUGCUCCAUGGGACGUUCAUCGUGGGUCUAUGUGCAAACCCAGCACGGCCUACUGACGUCAACCAGCAGCAGCCAGUAGCCGGGAACAGCAUUCUAUCCCUAAUCGAACCGGGUUCCCGCAGCAGUCAAGUCAAGUGGCCGCGUGAGUGUCACUUGCAUCACGCGUUCCAUAAAUUGCUUCGCGCGCGCUCCCUCUCCUGUCACAACACAGCAGUAACUUCCAAACGGGUAAUUUUACUGCGCAUUAGAAGGGAAUUUGUUCGGACGCAAUCAUCCACGGCCAGAGGGGCUAGGCUAAGCCAGGUUGAGCUAAGCCGUGAGCCGAUUAAGUGCUGCUCGGUAAGGUAGUUAACAGCUGAAAAGUAUACCCACCUUCGCGUCGCGGGGGCAAAGCUGUUAAGGGCCGCAGAACUUUGCGCGAAGAUUACGUAAGGAUCCAUGCUAGCCUGAAAGAGGAUUGUCACGAAACGAGGGGAGAGAUGACGGCUUCCGAUGAUGGCGAUUCCAGGUUGGGAGAUUGCUUUAAAGAUUGCAGGGAGUUAAGACAAACCUGCUAAAGACAGUCAAGUAAUCAACAGAAAUGUUGAAAUCUAAGAUUGAUGUUUAUUUUAGGUAUUAUAUUUUCCAUUUUUACCAAUAACUGUAUCCGUGAUGUAUUGGUUAUCAAAUCCGCCUAACAUGCGCAUUAUGG